GAAUUCACUAGUGAUUCAGGCCUAACACAUGCAAGUCGAGCGGUAGAGAGAAGCUUGCUUCUCUUGAGAACGGCGGACGGGUGAGUAAUGCCUAGGAAUCUGCCUGGUAGUGGGGGAUAACGUUCGGAAACGGACGCUAAUACCGCAUACGUCCUACGGGAGAAAGCAGGGGACCUUCGGGCCUUGCGCUAUCAGAUGAGCCUAGGUCGGAUUAGCUAGUUGGUGAGGUAAUGGCUCACCAA
rnacentral:rRNA from 1 species